AACGAACGCUGGCGGCGUGCCUAACACAUGCAAGUCGUGCGAGAAAGUUCCUUCGGGAGCGAGUAAAGCGGCGCACGGGUGAGUAACACGUAGGUAACCUGCCCCCCAGUCUGGAACUACUAGAGGAAACUCUAGCUAAUGCCGGAUGAGACCACGAUCCCUUCGGGGGUUGCGGCCAAAGAUGGCCUCUACUUGUAAGCUAUCGCUGAGGGAUGGGCCUGCGGGCCAUUAGCUUGUUGGUGAGGUAACGGCUCACCAAGGCUGUGAUGGCUAGCUGGUCUGAGAGGAUGACCAGCCACACUGGGACUGAGACACGGCCCAGACUCCUACGGGAGGCAGCAGUGGGGAAUAUUGCGCAAUGGGCGAAAGCCUGACGCAGCGACGCCGCGUGGGUGAUGAAGGCCU
rnacentral:rRNA from 1 species